rnacentral:rRNA from 1 species
UACGUAGGAUGCGAGCGUUAUCCGGAUUUAUUGGGUUUAAAGGGUGCGUAGGCGGGAUGCCAAGUCAGCGGUAAAAAUGCGGUGCUCAACGCCGUCGAGCCGUUGAAACUGGCGUUCUUGAGUGGGCGAGAAGUAUGCGGAAUGCGUGGUGUAGCGGUGAAAUGCAUAGAUAUCACGCAGAACUCCGAUUGCGAAGGCAGCAUACCGGCGCCCGACUGACGCUGAGGCACGAAAGCGUGGGGAUCGAACAGG